rnacentral:tRNA from 1 species
GGAGGUAGCUCAGUGGUAAGGCACUUGCCCAGCAUGUGGGAGGCACUGGGUUCGAUUCUCAGCACCA